UAUCCAUAGUUUUCCCUCUAUUUUUUCCUCCAGUUCCCUCCCCCACAUCCUUUCUACCCCAACACCCAUCCACUCCUCAGAAAGGGUAAGUCCUCCCAUGGGGAGUAAGCAAAGUCUGGCAUGUCAAGUAGAGGCAGAACCAAGCUCCUCCCCCAUCCAUCAAUGUUGAGCAAGGUAUCCCACAAUAGGGAUUUGGUUCCAAAAAAGCAUUGAAUCUCUCUGGUGCCAAUAUUUUUGAUAUGUAAAGUGUUUCUGUCUUUGUUGAGGUCAGCUAUAGCACAUUUUUCUCUCUUCCCCCUUCCAGUCUUUUCUCCACACAUCCUCAUGAUUCCCUAUCUUUCUAUUGUGCCUAAAACUACUGCAUUCUGGAGAAUGAGAGAAGCCAGUCACAAGACAAAAGGAGAUGAAUCUUACAUGGAACCUUCAUAUACUAUGAGAACUCGUCUUCAAGGAAGAGUCUUCAGAGUGAUAAAUAUGAGUACCAAAGGAUUUCAUUUUAAACCAGUAUUGUGUUUCCCAAAUUGAGAUGGAUCAAAACCUUGGCCUUGUUCCCCACAUUGCAGAAGAAUUAUCAGAGAAUCUAAGUCUAAUCCCAGGGGAGUAAUGACACCAUGUCUUCAGGAUUUAAGCAAGUGCAAUAGAGGACUCUAUGAGAGUGGACAAUAUGAGGGAGGCCUUUCUGGUCAGAGUCGUUCAUGACCAGGCUGACUCCUGCAUUGUGAGUAGAAAAGGGGAGGGCUGCCUCUGAGGCUCCUCUGGAAUCUUGAGAAUUCCAACAACUGUGUUUCCUGAGUAAAUGGUGUUAGUGAGUGUGAAGAUUUCAAUGAGAAUGGCCCCAUAGGCUCAUAUGUCUGAAUGUUUGGUUAUAAGCUGGUGGGCUGUUUAGGAAGGAUCAGGAGGUGUGGCCUUGUCAAAACAGGUGUGUCAUGGCUUUUGAAAUUUCAAAGUCAAAGCCAGGCCCUGUCUCUCCCUCUCUCAGUCUCUUGUUGGUGAUCAUACACUGGCUCUUAGCUUCUGUUCCACGGACAUGGAUGACUGUCUGCUACUAUAUUCUCUACAAUGAUCAUCAUGGCUAACCCUUUGAAAUUGUAAUCAAGCUCCCAAUUAAAGGCUUUGUUCUUUAGGUU